CCAUAACAAGAACACUAAUAACGUUAUCAAUCUUCUCAUUUCUUGACAACAAUAUACAAAAUUUAGCAAAACAAGAACACUAAUAACACUAUCAAUCUUCUCAUUUCUUGAUAAGAAUAUACAAAAUUAGCGAAACAAGAACACUAAUAACACUAUCAAUCUUCUCAUUUCUUGAUAAGAAUAUACAAAAUUUAGCAAAACAAGAACACUAAUAAUACUAUCAACCAUCUCAUUUCUUGAUAACAAUAUAUAAAAUUUAGCAAAACAAGAACACUAAAAACACUAUCAAUCUUCUCAUUUCUUGAUAACAAUAUACAAAAUUUAGCAAAACAAGAACACUAAUAACACUAUCGACCUUCUCAUUUCUUGAUAACAAUAUACAAAAUUUAGUAAAACAAGAACACUAAAAACACUACCAAUCUUCUCAUUUCUUGAUAACAAUAUACAAAAUUUAGCAAAACAAGAACACUAAUAACACUAUCAAUCUUCUCAUUUCUUGAUAACAAUAUACAAAAUUUAGCAAAACAAGAACACUAAUAACACUAUCCAUCUUCUCCUUUCUUGGCAACAAUAUACAAAAUUAGCAAAACAAGAACACUAAUAACACAAUCGAUCUUCUCAUUUCUUGAUAAGAAUAUACAAAAUUUAGCAAAACAAGAACACUAAUAACAUUAUCAAUCUUCUCAUUUCUUGAUAAGAAUAUACAAAAUUUAGCAAAACAAGAACACUAAUAACACUAUCAAUCUUCUCAUUUCUUGAUAACAAUAUACAAAAUUUAGCAAAACAAGAACACUAAUAACACUAUUGACCUUCUCAUUUCUUGAUAACAAUAUACACAAUUUAGCAAAACAAGAACACUAAUUACACUAUCAAUCUUCUCAUUUCUUGGCAACAAUAUACAAAAUUAGCAAAACAAGAACACUAAUAACACAAUCGAUCUUCUCAUUUCUUGAUAACAAUAUACAAAAUUUAGCAAAACAAGAACACUAAUAACACUAUCAAUCUUCU
rnacentral:lncRNA from 1 species